rnacentral:misc_RNA from 1 species
UUAACAAUUGUUAUUAACAAAAUUCAGACUGAUGGCAAGACAAUGCAAAUGGUUUUCUUCACACCCUCCGCAGGAAGGUGUCUUCAUGGACCAAGACCACACCACCUACACCAGUAGCAGGGGCUUGUCUCGGGGGACCUCCCCCACGUGGGAGGGAGGUUAGCCGCUCCCAUGGAAGCAACAGGAAAGGUACGCAGAGUGGGUUUGAAUUGUGGUACGCGUAAAGCAUGCACUGAUUCAUUUAAUGAUCCUUCCGCAGGUUCACCUACGGAAA